AAAUGGAGGGGCUAAACAUGUACAAGGAAAAAGAUAUUUACUAAAAGCAAAAUAAGGAAAAACAAACACACACAUCUGGCGUGUGUGUGUGUGUCGCCCCAAGCAGGAGAAAAGGAGGAGAAACCCUAAAAUCCUUGAAGUUGCAAAAUUGAGAAGGGAAAUUGAAGCUAAUCAUAUGCAUGAAUCUGAAUGUGCAACCAUUUAAGCCUACUAAUCAAGUGGCAUAGGGAUCAUGUGGAAAUGGACUCAAGAACGGAAGGUUAACGGGUCAAGCUGAGGCGAGGAAGCAAGCAUGAACACUAACGCUCGAGGUUGUACGAGAGUACGGGAGAUUAUCACAAGGAAUAGAGAUCGAAGGCCGAGUCACAAGGUAGAUUGUACGGGGAUGAUUGAUUGUGUACUUUAGCAAACAGGAAGUUGUUUCUUUUUGUUUAGUAAAAAGUUAUUUUCAAAACGGACUUUCAAGUAAGUCAAGACAUUUGUAAUGAAAGAAAUUUUAUGGUAUGAAUUUCCGCUGCGAUUCUUUUGUCAAAUGUGAAUUAGGGUGUAACACCUCGCCUCUCUCUGCGAUCAUACUCAAUCGGAAGGUUCUAAUCACAGAUCGUUCUCGGAUGUAAUCUUGAAGGCUAUGGGCGCUAGUGUUUCAUUGGUGAGUGUGUUUGUGUAGAGCUAUUUUCCGUCAAUGACUAAGAUCGUUGAUACUCUCGUACCGAAAUCAAGAUCUGUGGGAGUUAUUUUGCGGUGUCUUAUGGCCGGAAUGUCUGGCCUAAAACAUCAUACCGGACAAGAUGAUAGUGAAAACGAGGACUUUCCGGACAAAACGACGAAACUGCGAAUAUUCUGUUACAAAACUGACCUGGGUAAGUGGAACGGUCGUGCGGUCUGAAGAACGACCGUGCAUCUCCGACAAAUCAAGACCAGCCGGUGAUAAACGACCAGUGCAACACGGCGUGCAAGACAAUCCCGGUGACGCACGGACGUGCCAUACAUUGCACCCCGUGCGGAUCCGAUGUUCAGCAAAUUCCCGGUGAUGAACGACCAGUGCUUCAGGCCGUGCAACAAGAUCCCGGAAACGCACGAUCGUGCCAUACAAAGAACGGUCGUGCGAGACCGAAGACCAGUCACCUCUGCUGAUGUCAUGAACAGUAACUCCAAUAAUGCAAAAAGUGAACGGUCGUGCGAUCGGUGCACGACCGUGCGACAUCGAAAAUAUAUAAAAAACCAACAGAAACAUUAUGUUCGCAACUCUGGAAUUUUGGAGAGCUUCACAGGCGAUUUUCAGGCUCCGGAGGCAUCAGCUUUUGCUCGGAUUCAA